AUAGCAUAUCAAUAAGCGGAGGAAAAGAAACUAACAAGGAUUCCCCUAGUAACUGCGAGUGAAGCGGGAAAAGCUCAAAUUUAAAAUCUGGCGGUCUUUGGCCGUCCGAGUUGUAGUCUGGAGAAGUGCUUUCCGCGCUGGACCGUGUAUAAGUCUCUUGGAACAGAGCGUCAUAGAGGGUGAGAAUCCCGUCUUUGACACGGACUACCAGUGCUUUGUGAUGCGCUCUCAAAGAGUCGAGUUGUUUGGGAAUGCAGCUCAAAAUGGGUGGUAAAUUCCAUCUAAAGCUAAAUAUUGGCGAGAGACCGAUAGCGAACAAGUACCGUGAGGGAAAGAUGAAAAGCACUUUGGAAAGAGAGUUAAACAGUACGUGAAAUUGCUGAAAGGGAAACGCUUGAAGUCAGUCGCGUUGGCCGGAACUCAGCCUUGCUUUUGCUUGGUGCACUUUCCGGUUAACGGGCCAGCAUCGAUUUUGACCGUCGGAUAAGGGUCAGGGAAAUGUGGCACCUUUUGGUGUGUUAUAGUCUCUGGUCGCAUACGGCGGUCGGGAUCGAGGAUCGCAGCGCGCCGCAAGGCAGGGGUUCGCCCACUUUCGCGCUUAGGAUGCUGGCAUAAUGGCUUUAAACGACCCGUCUUGAAACACGGACCAAGGAGUCUAACAAACCUGCGAGUGUUUGGGUGGUAAACCCGAGCGCGUAAUGAAAGUGAAAGUUGAGACCUCUGUCGUGGAGGGCAUCGACGCCCGGACCUGACGUUCUCUGACGGAUCCGCGGUAGAGCAUGUUUGUUGGGACCCGAAAGAUGGUGAACUAUGCCUGAAUAGGGUGAAGCCAGAGGAAACUCUGGUGGAGGCUCGUAGCGAUUCUGACGUGCAAAUCGAUCGUCAAAUUUGGGUAUAGGGGCGAAAGACUAAUCGAACCAUCUAGUAGCUGGUUCCUGCCGAGUCUCCCCUCUAAGAUAUA
rnacentral:rRNA from 1 species